rnacentral:tRNA from 1 species
GAAAAUAUAGUACAGAAUAGUACAUUUUAUUUACAAUAAAUCAGCCCAAUUAAUGGUAUUUUCU